rnacentral:rRNA from 1 species
GAUGAACGCUGGCGGCGUGCCUAAUACAUGCAAGUCGAGCGAACGGACGAGAAGCUUGCUUCUCUGAUGUUAGCGGCGGACGGGUGAGUAACACGUGGAUAACCUACCUAUAAGACUGGGAUAACUUCGGGAAACCGGAGCUAAUGCCGGAUAAUAUUUUGAACCGCAUGGUUCAAAAGUGAAAGACGGUCUUGCUGUCACUUAUAGAUGGAUCCGCGCUGCAUUAGCUAGUUGGUAAGGUAACGGCUUACCAAGGCAACGAUGCAUAGCCGACCUGAGAGGGGGAUUGGGCCACAUGGAAACGAAGAAAGGGUCCGACUCCUAAGGGAGGGAGGAGUAGGGAAUCCUUCGCAAUGGGCGAAAGCCUGACGGGGCAAAGCCGCGUGAGUGAUGAAGGUCUUCGGAUCGUAAAACCUUGUUAUUAGGGAACAACAUAUGUGUAAGUAACUGUGCACAUCUUGACGGUACCUAAUCAGAAAGCCACGGCUAACUACGUG